rnacentral:rRNA from 1 species
CUCCAAUAGCGUAUAUUAAAGUUGCUGCAGUUAAAAAGCUCGUAGUUGAAUUUCGGGACCAUCAUGUCGGUCGUGCCUCGGUACGUACUGGCAUUGUUGGUUUCUACCUUCUGACGAACCAUGAUGUCAUUUAUUUGGUGUCGUGGGAAAUCAGGACUGUUACUUUGAAAAAAUUAGAGUGUUUAAAGCAGGCUCACGCUUGAAUACAUUAGCAUGGAAUAAUGAAAUAGGACGUUUGAUUCUAUUUUGUUGGUUUCUAGGAUCGACGUAAUGAUUAAUAGGGAUAGUUGGGGGCAUUAGUAUUCAAUUGUCAGAGGUGAAAUUCUUGGAUUUAUUGAAGACUAACUACUGCGAAAGCAUUUGCCAAGGAUGUUUUCAUUAAUCAAGAACGAAAGUUAGGGGAUCGAAGACGAUCAGAUACCGUCGUAGUCUUAACCAUAAACUAUGCCGACUAGGGAUCGGACGAUGUUAAUUUUUUAAUGACUCAUUCGG